UUUGGGUUCAGAUUGUUUUCAAGCUCGUAUUUUUUUAAAUUUGGGCUCGGAUGAAGCUGCACGAACUAUAAUCAGUUCAAAUAAUUUUGAAUUUCUAAGUUAUAAAUAUUUUUAUUUUAAAUAUAAUAAUUCAUUUUACUUCAAUAAUAAUGCAAUUUAGAUUUGUCCUACGGAAAAUAUAGAGGUUUUUUUUUUAACAUAAA
rnacentral:lncRNA from 1 species